UGGGACCCUCUUACCGGAACGCUGGGGACGCGUCCGAGUGAGGCUCCGAGGUUCCCAGGGGCUUUCAGGACUCACAGAGACCUUCUGCACCUUGGUGAUGGCCCAAGGGGACUGUUUUCUUCCUUGGAACCUGAAUGACUGCCAAGAAGGAAGACGAAAGUAGAGUGCUUGUCUCUCCUGGUGGCUCCAGGCCUCAGGCUGUCCUAUCGAACCCCUUUCAGAGCUCAAGGACAAGGCUCACUUCAACUAGUGAGCUUGAGUCAUGAGUGAAACAUCUUGCUCUUUCCUUAUCGAGAAAGAAUUUCAAGAUGGACAGGUAGAAAGUGUCUCUGCUGGGCUCUCGCCAUCAUACAAGGACAAUGGUGCACUCAUGGCUUUCAGAGGAAUUCCUAUCUCAGAGCUGAAGAACCAUGGCAUUCUCCAGGUCCUGACAGCAGAAACUAACGGAUGGCAGCCAGGUGGUUUGUCAUUCCCCAUCAAAAAUUAGAAGCAACUGGGUUUGGAGCCAGUUGUGAGUGCAGAGAUGCUCCGAGCCCAGGAAGAAUGGGAGGUGGUAGACACCAUCCAUCCAGACAUAG
rnacentral:lncRNA from 1 species